rnacentral:rRNA from 1 species
AUGGACGAGCGUGAGCGUCCUUCGGCUUCCGCCACGAGCAGGGCACCGGAUGGUCAUCGCGCCAUCUGGAAGGUCAUAUGGGGGUGCCCUGCUCCCCCUAAGGUACGCGUGUUCGCUUGGAGAGUCGUCACCAACUCACUUGCUACUUGGGCCAAUAAAGCCUCGCGACACCUCGAGCUUACUGACAUUUGCCCCUUGUGUGGUGUUGAACGCGAGGAUGGAUCCCAUGCGCUUUGCAGGCGUCCCCUGGCAAUAGAGCUCUGGCGAGUUAUGGCCUUGGACUGGAACAUCCCCGAGGUGGAGGCCAUCGUCAACACUGGUCCAGAGUGGAUCUUUUCACUGCUGGACCCCUUGGAUGAGACGGCGAGACUGGUGGUGCUCAUGACCAUGUGGAGAGUAUGGCAUGUCCGGAAUGAGAUCACACACGACAAGGCGCCACCCACUGCCGAAGCCUCUCGACGCUUUUUGCACGGAUACAUCAACUCACUCAUGUGCAUACAGCAACAUCCUGAUGGUAACCUAGAGAAAGGGAAGAUGGUGGUCCUGCCUUCACCACCACGCGCUCCAGAAAGUACGGCGCUCAAGGUGCGCGCACACUGGGUACCGCGCCAGCCGGGCUGGGUUAAGUUGAACACGGAUAGGAGCUACAUAGCGGCCACAGGUGCGGCGGGAGGAGGUAUGAUCCUGCGUGAUGACAGAGGCGAGAUCAUCUACAGCGCAUGUAGGGAGCUACGUACAUGCGACAACGCUUUAGAGGCGGAGCUAGAAGCGUGCAAAGAAGGCUUGGAGCUGGCCUUGCACCGAUCUAACCUACCUAUUCUGGUUGAGUUGGAUAGCGCGGAGGCGGUGUCAAUGAUUACAGCACGCGAGAUGGAUAGAUCGUCACAUCAUGCACUUAUAAAGGAGAUUCGUAGGUUGGCUGGAAGCGAUGCUAGGGAGAUCUCUUUUACUCUUUGUAGCCGUCUGCAGAACAGGAUUAGUCAUGAGCUGGCCGCCUAUGGCCGUAGCACUCCGCGCACCGCAGUCUGGCUUACUGCCGGGAUGGACUUUGUUGUAAACCUGGCUCUCGCUGAGAAGCCUCCUUGA